rnacentral:snoRNA from 1 species
AAACCUUGAUGAUGAGCUGCAUGUGAGUCCGUGUUUCACCUGAACCUCGUGAUUACUCUUCACUGCGCUGAUGGUUU